AUCCUUAGACUUUAACAACAGGCCUGUCACCUAUUAGAUACUAUAUCAUUCAUGUUGUUCAAAUGGUCAUACUGCUGGUAAAUGUUUUACAUAUGGAAGUAAGGCUAACAGUACAUCUUGAUGUAGUUGUAAUGUUGACAUAUUGCUUAGAUCAUUAAAAAAAGUGAUACAGAUUGAGGUUGUGUUUUUUCAUUGAGAUGUACUUUUUUGAUCUAAUAUUCUCAUUCUCUUGGUUACAAGAAUAUAUGUCACUUACUGUCAGAAUCAAUUAAUAUAUCCAUAAAAAUUGACUAUUUGAAAAUCACAAGAAAACUCAGAUUUGUGACCCCUUCAUUACCCCCAGAAAAAAAUUCAAGCAUGUGAUUAUGUCUAGGUCCCUUUGAUGUCUUGGGCAAAAGAACAAUAGAAUAUUUAAUAAGAUUUAGAGAUCCAGCAGUGGGUCUCAGACUCUAGCUUAUGUUGCAGACAUUAUUGAUGUGGCUUCUGUGCAAAACAGAUAUAGAAUGUUCAUUUACUUUUAUCAAAUAAUGAAUAACAGAGACUUAAUAAUACUGAUAUCUCAUUAGCAUAUAAAUUAUCACCUGAGUAUUUCUUAAUUUAAUAAUGUAUAAAGGUACUAAUACAUUUAUUUAGCUUGAUUUAAAAUCAUGUCCUUGCAUUAUUUUCUGCUUCUAAGUCUUAGACCACAUAUUCAAAACCCAAGACUAUUGCCAUAAUAGAACUAUCACUCAGAUAUUUGUGCUUUCUUUAAAGUUAUUAAUUUCAGCAUUGAACAGAGGAAACCAAACAACUAGUAGGAAGAGUAGAAAUAUAAUUGGCCUGUUUGGAAGAAGUCUACUAGGGUAACAGUAACUAGACUCAACAUGCAAGUGCCAUCAUGAUGAAUGUUUAAAGCGAUUUUUUGAGAGCCAAUUAUACUUUGUGUGUGUGUAUGUGUGUGUGUGUGUGCACGCGCAGAAACUGAAGAUCAGCCAGAUCAGAACAGUUGUAUGCACAAAGCUGUUUUGGAGCUGUCUUUUCAAACAAGAGCUGCAGAAAAUGCUAUAGCAAUGUUGAAGCUUUAUUUCCCUCUGACUCACCCUGAAAGCCCAACCCUGAUUCUGCCUGAGAAGGGCCGUAUCUACUGAGCUAAACCGUGAGUCCUAUGAAUUCUACUAUGCUAGAUGACUGACCUAGUUAUAUGGCAUGGUAUUUAUUAAGGUUUAAUGAGAUGGUCUUAACUAAAUGUUGGAUUAUAAGGGAUAAUUUGUGUCUUUAGUCAAUGUAAAGGAUUUCUAGAGAUUAAUAAAUGUUUAGCUCUCAAGAAGAUAAGGCA
rnacentral:lncRNA from 1 species